UACGUAGGGUGCAAGCGUUAUCCGGAAUUAUUGGGCGUAAAGAGCUCGUAGGCGAUUUGUCGCGUCUGCUGUGAAAACUGGAGGCUCAACCUCCAGCCUGCAGUGGGUACGGGCAGACUAGAGUGCGGUAGGGGAGAUUGGAAUUCCUGGUGUAGCGGUGGAAUGCGCAGAUAUCAGGAGGAACACCGAUGGCGAAGGCAGAUCUCUGGGCCGUAACUGACGCUGAGGAGCGAAAGCAUGGGGAGCGAACAGG
rnacentral:rRNA from 1 species